GACACGACUGUUUCAUCUGUCGUUGUGGAGAAUCCACCAUCCUUUCCAGCUCCACAGGUUAUUCUGGAUGUUCGGGAACUUCCUCCAUCCCCAUCCCUGACACAAUGUCCGUACUGUCAUGAAUAUAUAACCACAGAGCUCACAAAGACCUCUGGUAGUGUGCCAUGUCUCAUCUGUUUAAUUUUAGUUAUGGUUGGUUGUGUAGCCGGCUGCUGCCUGAUCCCAUUCUGUAUCGAUUCCUUCAAAGACGUUGAACAUAAGUGUCCAAGAUGUCGGAGUCACAUCUACACAUGCAAAAAACUCUGAGGGGUGGAACUCUCAAAAAACACCUUCAGGUGAUUUCAACCACUCUAUACGAUCUCUAUGGAGAUAUCACAGCAUCUGUAGUUAGUGGGAUUAUUUAUUCCUCUUUUUAUCGUGAUGAUAUUUUCGGGUCACUGGAAUUCAUGAGACGUCACCACACAAAGGCAUCACAAAGAUACAACUGAGACACGAAUGCCUGAACCAUUCUGAGAUUGAAAGUCUUGCUCAAUGAUGGAUGAAUCACGACUAGCGUCUUGUGGCGUUUGAUCCAGAGACAGGCUGGUUUAUAGCCCUAAGGAUUAACUAUACCACACAUCCCUGAAAGGAAAUACACUUUUAAAGGUCUAUACGUUCUAGUUUGAAGAUGGUAAGUGGCUCCUGAGAUGUCCCCUUGAUAUAUUUUCUCAGUCAUUCUGUUUGGAGCUUCAAGAACAUUCAAGGUUUAUAUGCAUGCUUUAAAACUGCUGAAUACUCAAUCAAGCACUAAAUACUUUUAGGAUGUACUGGAAGAUAUAACAUGGAUCAAGAUGCAACAUUGUGACAAAACUAUGCACAUUGUGUAACUGUGUACCGAAUACCUUUCACUUUUUGAAUCUUUUAUUUAAAUCGUUUUCAUUUUUUAAGACUGCUGCACUGUAAAAAGGGAAAACUUCAAUUGUUACACUUAACCCAUUGUUCAAAUUCACUAGCCUUUCGUUAUGUUCGGGAUGAAAACAUUCAAUAAAUGAAACUGCUGUAAAAAUGUAUCAGAUAUAUAAAUAAAUAUAAAUAUAUAUAUUUGUACAUAAAUCUGUUAAUCAACCUCAAUCCUGAUCAAAACUACUAAAUGUUUACAAAAUCCCAGAAUUUGCCAAUUAAUAAAUGAUGUCACUGAUUUAGGAAAAAACACACAAAAUGACUUAUUUUCAAUAUAAAUUUUUAACCUUUUAUCACAGUCGUGGGGAUGUCAAAAAGAAGUAAAAACAUUGGCUUUGAUGCAUUGUUAGUUUUUGUGCAUCAUCAGAUUUAAUUUUUUUCUCCCUCAUUUACUGUUCGUGGCUGUUUUUGCCCCCAUUGAUUUCCAUUAUAAUGACAUUUUUUGAUUGCAAACCCACGACAUCAUAUAAUCAUGCAUUUUUGAUUGUUGGUGCUUUCCCUGUUGGGAAGAGGUAAAAUUUGUAAUUUUUACAGUUGAUCAGCAGGUGAAACCAUUAACCCUUUAGAUAGGUCUGUGCAAAAAAGCAUCCCGAACAUAAUGAAAGGGGCAGUGAACUUGCCCACAGUGU